UUAUCGAUAGUCGUAGUAACUGAUAGUAUUUUAAAGCAGUCGCAAGUAUUUUCGCCACUACUUGACAUGGUUAUACUGUAAUAAUAUUGUAGCAAAAAGGAGGAAGAUAACACACUGCGAACUGUGCCACAUGCAUAAACUGACGAGUUUAGCAAGACUAAAAGCGGCAAUUAUGGACCUAUAAAGUUCACUUCGUGGCACUUUAUUAAGGAUGUACAUUUGUCAUCGGUUGCCGAAUUAAGUACAAAUUAAUAGCGAUAAAAAUACAGUGUUGAGGGAACCUCACCCCUCGCUUAGGACUAUUUGUAAAGGUAUAAGGAUACCUGCUUUAAGUUCGGCUGGCAAACUACAUUUCUUUGUGGAUAAAGUACAACCGUAUAUGUAUGUACAUAAGCAAUCCAAUGGUUGUCAAAGGAACAACAUAAUAUUGUUAUAAUAUUUAUUGUAUAUGUUGUAAUUUGUAUCCUUUGCAAAGAAGACUUUUCUGUUGUACGUUGAUUUUAGCCAGUGAGCCGAACUUAAAACAAGCGUUAAAACGCCCUAAAAUAAUAAUUCCAUAAUAGUAGUUAAUAAAAAAAAAACGUUCCGGGUUUUAAGCUAAA